AGGAUACGGAGGAGGAAGCGGAGGCUACAACAGAAGUGGAGGAGGCAGAGGAUAUGGUCGCCGUGAAGGAGGCUAUGGAGGCGGCCGCCGUGAGGGUGUAUUUGGGAAUGGUGGUGGAUAUGGCGGCGGUGGAGGAUAUGGCGGCGGUGGCGGUGGUGGAUAUGGAGGUGGACGCUGAGAUGGUGGAUAUGGUGAUGGUGGGUCUCGUUACUCAAGAGGAGGCGGAGCGUCUGAUGGGAGCUGGAGGAUUUAGGGUCGUAGGGUUAGUAUUUAAGUGGGCUUUGGGCUUUGCUUUGUGUUUCAAAUUUUG
rnacentral:lncRNA from 1 species